GAAUGAACGCUGGCGGCGCGCCUAAUACAUGCAAGUCGAGCGAGAAGACGUAGCAAUACGUUUGUAAAGCGGCGAACGGGUGAGGAAUACAUGGGUAACCUACCCUCGAGUGGGGAAUAACUAGCCGAAAGGUUAGCUAAUACCGCGUACGCUUCUUGGACUUCGGUUCAGGGAGGAAAGCGAGUACCGUGGGUAUCGCGCUCGUUGGAUGGGCUCAUGUCCUAUCAGCUUGUUGGUGAGGUAACGGCUCACCAAGGCUUCGACGGGUAGCUGGUCUGAGAGGACGAUCAGCCACACUGGCACUGCGAC
rnacentral:rRNA from 1 species